CCGCCUCUCUCCUCGGCCUAGGGCCAGCGCUGCUCUGCGCAUGCCCAUCCGGCCGAGACGCCUUCGUGGAGUGUCCUGCAGGAUACAAACUUUCCCCUGGACGAUGUCGCCACCCUCUCCUCCCCGGGAUCGAGUCAGAAACAGUUUGAUAGAUGAUGCUAAGACCCGCUUAAAAAAGCAUGAUGUUGGAACCAAACAUUCUCACUUGUCGCCUACCAAAUACUCCAUCCUUUUACCAUUGGUGGCAAAAGAAGGAAAACUCCAUCUGUUGUUCACCCUCCGAUCAGAGAAGCUAAGAAGGUCACCUGGAGAAGUGUGCUUCCCAGGAGGCAAGUGGGAACCUACAGAUGUGGAUAAUGUGGCCACAGCUCUCCGGGAAGCCCAUGAGGAAGUGGGACUGCAUCCUCGUCAAGUGGAGGUCGUCUGCCGCCUGGUGCCGCAACCGCUUGACAAAGAUACAUUGUUAACCCCAGUUGUAGGAUUUAUAGACCACAACUUCCAGGCCCAGCCUAAUCCGGAUGAAGUUAAGAAUGUGUUCCUAGUGCCUCUGGAAUAUUUCCUGCAUCCCCGUGUCUACCAACAGAAUCGACUGACACGUUCAGGUCAUCAUUUUAUUCUUCAUUGCUUUGAGUACACAACCCCUGAAGAUGGUAUGACUUACCACAUCAAGGGAAUAACUGCGAAAUUUGCUGUGUUCGUUGCCUUAAUUAUUUUGGGAAAAAAACCCACCUUUGAGGUCGAAUUUGAUCUCAACGAUCUAAUAUCAUCCUCUAAAGAGGGCUUCCUGGAGCUUCGUGAACAUGGUACAAGCAAGUUAUGAUUUAUGAGACCAACAUCCAACUGACUACCUAAGAGGUUUUUAUGGGUGCUUAGCCACAGAAGAGCAACAAUGCCAGCUGUUGGAAUUUGACAAGUGGGAAUAUUUUUCCUGCAAUAUGAAGAAACUUCCAGACAGCCAUCAAAAUCUUUCCUCCCUUUCUUCCAUGAUGGUACCGUUGAAGCUGAGUCCAUAGCUCCCCACAGAGAAACACCAUCGCCCUUGCAGUUAACUGUGGCUCUGGAACUUAGUUUAGGCCAAUGGGAUGUGAGCGAAAGUUGACCUUGCAGAUCCUCUCCAAUUUAAGAGAUAAGCCGGCUUUCCCGGACUGUCUUUCCCCGUUUCCAUGAACUGCAACAUGGAUAGAUCUGCAACCCAGCCUCGACCACACAGAUAAGGAUAGUUCCUGGAGGAAUGGCAGAACCGAAAGAUGCAGGUAGAGGAAGGGAUCCGAUGUGCUGCUUUAUACCCAGAAAUGUCGAAAUGGAACAAAUCUGGCUCCAACCAUGAAAGCAGAUGUUGGGUAAGCUUUCCCAUUAACAUUCUGUAACUAGCCCUGCAUGAACAGGCCUAAACGGUUUCCGAACAAUUAUAGAGGCAUUCACAAAUGUGUGUUUACAGUCUGACAGUGGUGUAAUUGCUGGGUAGAUCAUUGACCUAUCUGGCAGUGCAGAAAGCUGCCUUCCUGAACCAUUUGUUUACGUGAACUCCACAGACCUGCCUGGUUUCUAAGAGAAGCCGGCCCUGCUGAAGUCUAUAAUCCGAAGAUCCUAAGGGCCACCCAAUUUAAGGGGCUAAAUAUUUCACGAUGGAGGUACUGCCCCGUCAUUUUUUAGUGGUGUAUUUUAUGACAUCUAUGUUCAGGGUUCUAGGUAAACAUCAUUUGGUUAGAAAGAACAGAAGUCUGGCAGAUCUGACUCAAAUAAAAGAAGUUAUUGGCAAGGUAGAGACCUCAGGGGAUCUGCAAAACCACUGAACCAGUCAGCCUCAAGAAGCAUAGCCGCUGGGAGCAACCCCAUCUAGUUAGCUCAAAAGCAAGCUGUGAACCCUCACUUUUGCAUUCUGUCAUUGUGACAAUAACCAUUCAUAUGAGUUGAUUGACACAGACAGAAAAGCAAUAGAAACUCCGUGCUUCAGUCCCCAGUUCCUUGGAAUCAGCUUCAUUUGGCCUAGCUUGCUUGGAUCUCCUUGCGGGUUUCCGGUAACCUGCAGAUAGGUUCAAGGGCAAGGCUCAGGGUCGGGGCCACAAAUGCACAUGUCUCCCUAAGUCCCCUGAGUCAGCAGGCUGCAGGUGAGAGCACAUCAAAGAAAGUGGGCUAGACAGACAUCCCGAAACAUCUACUGUCUCCAGCCCCUAAAAUCUGUAAAUUCUGUGGGUUCUGCCAUUCAGACAGCUCAACCCUGUCUCCUUCUCUGCACCCCCGCAGCCUUGUGAUCAGAGGGUUAAGAAUCCUGGGACUGGGGUUGGGAUGCCCAAAUUUGAAUCGCGGCUCCAGCGUCAGCCCAUUCAAUGACCUUAAGCAAGUUACUCAUUCUCUAUAAGCCUCAGUCUCCUCUUCUCUAACAUGAGAGAAAUAAAAUUUUUAUUUUAGGGCUGUUAAGGGGGUUAAAGGAGUUAGUCCACAUGACUCCCUUACUUCAAGCACACCUAAAUGCUCAGAAUGAUGCCUGGGAAAUAGUAAGGGCUCACUUACCUGUUAGCUAGUAAUUAUGGCAUUAUUAUAACUAAGACAUUAUGUUACAGCAAUCGUAAUAAGCAUUGUUAUUUCUCUAGUUCAGAAAGUCAUCAUUUUCUUAUAGCAGCGGAAAGUUCCUGAACCAAGAAAGUUCACAGCAGGCACCAUUGGCAUUGCAGUGAUUUUUUCAUGGCACAUGUAGGCCAAAAGAAACACCUAACGAUUUUGUUUCUGUUGUAUCCAAACAACUUAAUAGGUGCUUAAGUCCUACUAACUUGGUAGAUCUUUGAAAAUACAUCAUCCACUAGAAGAAUACUGCUUUCAUUGCAGUCUUAACCACAGUUGCUUACUAAAAGGAUAUGUCCACCCGUUGGGUACACAAGUAAAUGGAAGAUUCAAAUACAGUUGUAUGAUAAGGAUAAACAUAGUCAAAGGUGGGAGGGACGCCUGAUUCGGAUUUGGGACUCAGGGAAGCCAUCCCAGUGGAGGUAGUGGUUGAGCUGAGCCUUGAUGGAAAAGGAGAUGCUGCCCAGGUGAAUGGGAUAGUGGUAGUGAUGAUGAAGGCUAACAUUUAUUAAACAGCCAUUAUAUACCUGCGCCUUCACUUUAUUCCAUUUAAACCUCACACCAAAUCUCAGCCCUGAGUUCUGUUAUUAUUGCCAUUUUUAGGUAGGAAAAUUUGAGGAUCAGAGAAGUUAAAUAUUUGCCCAUAGUCACACAGUUCAUAAAUGGCAGCCAACAUCCAAACCCACAUGUAUGAACUUCAAAGCCUGUACUCUUUCUACCAUACCCACUUACUCCAAGAUAAGCAUUAUUUCAUAGGGACAGAGGCAAGGAUAGAAUGGUAAAUUUAUGUUUCCCUUGAAUCACCACGUGUGAAAGGGAAAGCAAUACAAACCUAAUGAAUUGGAGAGAGAGCAGAGUUUAUUUUUGCCUUUUUCUUUCUAUUUUCAUUGUGUCCUCCAGCUUAUUCAGCUGGUGUUGCACACAGUGAAAUGAGUAAUUAGCAGGGAUGAUUUUAAUUAAAAUGGAACAUACCAAUUAAUAAAUGAAAGUGCUGGCUUACUUGCUAAUUUGACAGCUCCUUUCAUGGUGCCAGCUUUCCAGUUAAAGAACUGAGAGGGGGAAACAUUCCUCUAGCCCUUAGACAAAAUGAUUAAAAGAUAAUUCAAGUCUUUUUCAUGUUUCCAGUUGGUUUCUUAUUUGAGAAUAGCAGACAGUUUUGAUAAAAUCACUGAAAUGAUCAUCACCUGGUCCAGUUGUCUUAGAUGUGGUAUACUUAGGGUCCCUAAUGGGGUCUGUGUGUAUACUCCAUUCAGAAUUCUUAAUUGCCACCCCCCCAUGAUCACUCAGCCACCUUCCUGUGCCUCCCCACCGUUGAACACUAUUCAGACCAACAGUCAGUUUCUCUGUGCCCACUUCUCCAACCACCCCUACUAUAUAGUAUGGACACUGCUUCAUUGCACCCCUUUGUAUAUCUGUUUAAUAUAUGUAUAUCUUUGUGCUUAAUCCAGCCAUGACCCUGGAAGGGACAGAUCCACACACCAUGAGACCCAUCAGGCUGACUUCCCUUGGCCUCUGGUGAACGGACCAGUGGUCAGUGGCCAACCUAAUGGCAGCAUCUAAUUUGAUGGCCAGGAAUCUAUGACUUAUACAGUCUGCUUAAAUAACCGAGCUAAGUCUAUUAGAUGUUCCAAAGAAUUUGAACUAUGCCAGAAGAUAAUAUGUGCUCAAAGACUAUUUUGGCCCACAUGCAUGUUGAUGAGAAGCCCAAGAAGUCAGAGUUUAAAGGCUAGUUGGCCAAUAGUUGAUGGAAUUGUGUCUUAACUUAGGCAGUAGUUGUGAUGUCAGAGAUUCUACCAGAUGCAACUGGAAGAUGAAGAAAUAUUUCCUGAAGCAACUUAAACAUCUUUUUUUGAGGUCUCAUACUCAAGUCCAUAAAUUUUCAUUUUAUAGUGGUAGGCUUGCUUUGAUAUUUCUUUGACUAUAAUUUUCCUCAUUUUUCAUUUUGUGUCUUCAAGCCUUUAUUCCUUAUUUCAUCCAGAUUGUCUAUGGCACUUCUUUUCCCUUUUUUGUUUGUUUUUCUCUUUCUCUCUGAUUUCCCAUGUGAAACUUGAAGUUUUCCUUCUGGUUAUUUUGUUCCACCUUCUUAAUUCAUUUGUGUUUCUUCACUAAUUUGUGAACAGAUUCUGCUUUGGGCUCAUUUCAUCUCCUUCCACCAGCCUGGAGUUUUUCUUCUAAAUCUGCUACAUCCUGUGGAGCCCAUAAAGCAUUCUGAGACGUUACCUACAUUUUUUUUUUCCUGACUAUAAAUCUGUAUGGCCUAACAUCAGACCAAAUGAUAAAUUGAAAAUAGUUUUGCUAGAACUCCUAAGCUGUCGUAAACAUAUAUCAAUCUAUCUUAGCCCCCUGCAGUGAAUUGAAUAGUGGCCCCAAAAAGAUAUUUCCACGUCCUCACCUGCAAUACCUGUGAACGUGACUUUCUUUGGAAAUAGGCUCUUUGCAGAUGCAAUUAAGUGAAGGAUCUUGAGAUGAAAUCAUCCUGGGUCCAGUGGCUGAUGUCUUUAUAAAUGAAAGGAGAGGGAGAUUUGAGCAACACACACAGAGACACAGGGAAGAAGGCCAGGUGAAGAUGGAGGCAGAGGUUGGAGUGAUGCUGCCACAGGCCAAGGAACGAGGCUCCUCACUUCAGGAGCCACCUGAAGCUGGAAGAGGAGAGGAAGCCUCCUUCCCCAGAGACUUCAAGGGAAGUGUGGCCCUGCCAACAUGUUGAUUUCGGACUUUCAGCCUCCAGAACUGUGAGAGAAUAAAUUUCUGUUGUUUAAAACCA